AAACCAUAUCAUUAUUCUUAUCAGUUUAGUAUCUGGUGUGUCCUCUAUUUGAGCACAAUAAAUUAAAUAAAUUUUUGGAGAAGGGAGAUAGAAUGGGAACUUGUUCCAUCCACUCCAUGCAUUAACCUGGUAUUGCAGUACCUCCAGGAAUGGUGCAACUUCC
ensembl:snRNA U2 U2 spliceosomal RNA